AUACCUAUGUAUAUAUAGAGUUUCCGUCGAAGUUCGGGGGUGGCGUGGCACCCCCACAUGCCUUAAUAGAUCCGCCUCUGUUUGGCAUGCAAAUGC